UACGUAGGGAGCAAGCGUUGUCCGGAAUCAUUGGGCGUAAAGCGCGCGUAGGUGGCUUCGUAAGUCCGUUGUGAAAGUCAAAGGCUCAACCUUUGAAUGCCGAUGGAUACUGCGGAGCUAGAGUACGGAAGAGGCGAGUGGAAUUCCUGGUGUAGCGGUGGAAUGCGCAGAUAUCAGGAGGAACACCAAUAGCGAAGGCAGCUCGCUGGGACGUUACUGACACUAAGGCGCGAAAGCGUGGGGGGCGAACAGG
rnacentral:rRNA from 1 species